rnacentral:rRNA from 1 species
CGCGUAGGCGGCUCGGUAAGUCUGGAGUGAAAGUCCUGCUUUUAAGGUGGGAAUUGCUUUGGAUACUGUUGGGCUUGAGUGCAGGAGAGGUUAGUGGAAUUCCCAGUGUAGCGGUGAAAUGCGUAGAGAUUGGGAGGAACACCAGUGGCGAAGGCGACUAACUGGAUUGUAACUGACGCUGAGGCGCGAAAGUGUGGGGAGCAAACA